CUAUAGAUGCGUGUUUGGUCAGGUCAACACUAUGGAGACAUGUUCAACUACUUCAUCUCACUCAAAUUGGUAAACGUUUCUUGAAAGAGGAUUAUUUUUUUUAUUUUAUUUUUUUCCCAAAGAGGAUUAUGAAUAUCCUGCAUCGAAUAUAAACUCGCAACAGAGAGAAAAAAUAAAGAGAUAGAGAGAAAAGGAAAAAGAUGUCGACGCCACUUCGGGAAGGUCCCGGUGGUUACUGUUUGCGUUCUAGGGUUGUCCCAUCCAGAGGCUAAAACCAAAAUCAAUCGCUGCUGCUUUUUUUGUAUGGAUAACAAUAUUUAUCAUCCUAGAUGUAGAGGAUUCAAGACUGGCCUGGAGAAUAAUGGUGGAAUAUAUUUCUAAGGAGCGUGAAAGACUCAAUGAUUUCCUGGCUAUGUUGUCCAGGAACUACUUUUAAUGACCAUAAUACUGUGGGUAUCUAUGAUGUAAUUGAAGUUAUGUUUGAACUUUGAAGCAUGCCUGGUUUUCUAGUUUGGCUAGUUGCCUUCUAAAAAUUAUCUUGGCUCUGUGCUAGGACAUAGUAGUAGACUCUGUGAGUAUUUGCGGUAGUAUCAUUGUAUCUCUCAGACUAAUUUUACUUCUUACAUCAAAUAAUGUAUUUUACAAUGCAUUAUUUGACCAAACAUCUCUAUAAUAAUGAAAAAAAAAACAGUCCAUUAUAAUCUCUGCUUCUUUGGUA